rnacentral:rRNA from 1 species
CGCUGGCGGCGUGCUUACACAUGCAAGUCGAGCGGAAAGGCCCUUCGGGGUACUCGAGCGGCGAACGGGUGAGUAACACGUGAGUAACCUGCCCUUGGCUCUGGGAUAGCUCCGGGAAACCGGAAUUAAUACCGGAUAGGACCCUGGAAGACAUCUUCUGGGGUGGAAAGAUUUUUCGGCCAGGGAUGGGCUCGCGGCCUAUCAGCUUGUUGGUGGGGUAACGGCCUACCAAGGCGACGACGGGUAGCCGGCCUGAGAGGGCGACCGGCCACACUGGGACUGAGACACGGCCCAGACUCCUACGGGAGGCAGCAGUGGGGAAUAUUGCGCAAUGGGCGGAAGCCUGACGCAGCGACGCCGCGUGGGGGAUGAAGGCCUUCGGGUUGUAAACCCCUUUCGGCAGGGACGAAGGGUGACUGACGGUACCUGCAGAAGAAGCGCCGGCUAACUACGUGCCAGCAGCCGCGGUAACACGUAGGGCGCAAGCGUUGUCCGGAAUCAUUGGGCGUAAAGAGCUCGUANGCGGUUUGUCGCGUCUGCUGUGAAAACUGGGGGCUUAACCCCCAGCUGGCAGUGGAUAC